UAGGGAAUCUUCGGCAAUGGGGGCAACCCUGACCGAGCAACGCCGCGUGAGUGAAGAAGGUUUUCGGAUCGUAAAGCUCUGUUGUAAGUCAAGAACGAGUGUGAGAGUGGAAAGUUCACACUGUGACGGUAGCUUACCAGAAAGGGACGGCUAACUACGUGCCAGCAGCCGCGGUAAUACGUAGGUCCCGAGCGUUGUCCGGAUUUAUUGGGCGUAAAGCGAGCGCAGGCGGUUUGAUAAGUCUGAAGUUAAAGGCUGUGGCUCAACCAUAGUUCGCUUUGGAAACUGUCAAACUUGAGUGCAGAAGGGGAGAGUGGAAUUCCAUGUGUAGCGGUGAAAUGCGUAGAUAUAUGGAGGAACACCGGUGGCGAAAGCGGCUCUCUGGUCUGUAACUGACGCUGAGGCUCGAAAGCGUGGGGAGCGAACAGGAUUAGAUACCCUGGUAGUCCACGCCGUAACGAUGAGUGCUAGGUGUUGGGUCCUUUCCGGGACUCAGUGCCGCAGCUAACGCAUUAAGCACUCCGCCUGGGGAGUACGACCGCAAGGUU
rnacentral:rRNA from 1 species